rnacentral:tRNA from 2 species
GGUCCGCUGGCUCAAUGGCAGAGCGUCUGACUACGAAGGCGUAAUCAGGAGGUUCCAGGUUCGACCCCUGGGUGGAUCG